UACGUAGGGUGCAGGCGUUAAUCGGAGUUACUGGGCGUAAAGCGUGCGCAGGCGGUCUGCUAAGAGAGAUGUGAAAUCCCCGGGCUUAACCUGGGAACUGCGUUUCUAACUGGCAGGCUUGAGUGUGGCAGAGGGGGGUGGAAUUCCACGUGUAGCAGUGAAAUGCGUAGAGAUGUGGAGGAACACCGAUGGCGAAGGCAGCCCCCUGGGCUAACACUGACGCUCAUGCACGAAAGCGUGGGGAGCAAACAGG
rnacentral:rRNA from 1 species